UAGCAGAUAGCUUUUUUAAGAUGUCACGAUUAUUUUGGCUCCCUUGCCGGGAAAUCGAAUAGAUUCCUCCGCUUUCUCCACCAUGGUACAACCCACUGAAGCAGAGAUUCAAACCAGGUUGCAAACCACGAUGCACUCCCAUGAAGAGAAGCUUAAUCAACUUAGCGACCAGAUGAAAGAUUUAACAGGCUCGGUUCGUGCUUUGCAGACUCUAAUGACUGAUCUACCCAAGUAGAUGGAGGCAAAGAUGGAGAAAAUGAAAGCAAACAUCCAACCCUCGACUCCCUCACAAUCCAAACCGACGUCUGGAAGUACAGGGUCAGUUAUUUGAAACCAUACCCUAAUCUCCACCUCCGGCACCAAAGAAAACCCCACCAUCGUCACCCCAUCGCAACCCCCACCCCAGAAGAUUGAUGAAUCGCUCUUUUCUCUCCCCAAGGUCAAGCUUCCUACCUGUAACGGGAUAGAUGCUCGUGGCUGGGUAAGCAAAGAUGAGUUGUAUUUCCAAGUUCAUAAAACCCCCACGAAUCAAAAGCUCGGUUUGUCCCAGAUGUGUAUGGAUGAAUCUGUGUUACAUUGGUUCACUAACCUUUUAAUCCGACACCCGGAUACUACAUGGGAGCAAUUUCGAUUGAAGCUCUUGAAUAUAUUCAGUGGCACCAAGUAUUGUAAGGCUAAUGAGGCUUUGGGAUCUCUCUUUCAAGAAUGCAACGUUGAAGAAUAUAUCGUGGAUUUCGAGGCUCUAUCGGCACUUAUACCCGACCAGUCAGAAGUACAAUCCGUUGGAUGGUUUUUGAGAGGGCUGCAAAUAGAAAUCAGAAACUGCGUUCGAACUCUCAGCCCUUCAACUUGCGAUCAAGCAAUGGAGUAUUUCCCGGAACGUCGAAGUAGCACUAGGAGGACAACCGGAGAAACCUAAUUUCCGUCGCAACUCAGGUACUUCAGUGGACCGUGGCAAGGUGAAGGUGUGACCGUACACAUCCUUGGUUUUCAACUGAUUUGAUCUUGGGAGAUUAUGAUUUUAAAUAAUCUUUUGAAAAAAAAAUAGUUUUGUAACACUUAUAUUAGAAAAAGGGUUGUUUUGAAAAGUUUUAAAUUUAUUGAAUUUUUCGGAUGUUACACUUUUAAAUAAAUACAAGCAUGUCUUUGCUUGGACUCCGACGAACAUGGUAUGAGUAGAUAGGGAGGUCAUAGAGCACAAGCUCAUGAUCAAACCGGGUGCCAAGGAAAUUAAACAAAAAAAUGAGUUCAAGAGGGGAGACAGGAACAUGCCAAUCAACACUGAGGUCGUCAACCUAACCAAAGAAGGAAUACUCCGGGAGGCAAUCUUCCCGACCUGGAUCGCAAACCCUAUCAUGGUUAAAAAGCACGAUGGCACGUGGCGCAUGUGCAUCGAUUACUCUGAUCUAAACAAAUCAUGCCCUAAAGACUGCUACCCCUACCAAAAAUCGAUUUAAAAGUGAAUCCCUAUAGGGUUUCAGACUAAAAUGCUUUCUCGAUGCGUAAUAGGGGUACCACCAGAUCUUGAUGCGCAAAGAAGAAGAAGAGAAGACAACCUUUUACAUGGACCCUGGGGCUUUCUACUACACCAAAAUUCUGUUCGGCCUGAAGAACGCAGGUGCGACCUACUAGCGCCUCGUCGACUCCAUCUUUGCCAUGGAAAUUGAAAGGAACAUUGAAGUAUACAUCGAAGAAAUGGUCAUAAAAAGCCCAUAUGACAGGAGAUUACUGAAAUACGUGGAAGAAACAUUCAAGACAUUGGAAACGUUCAAGAUGAAGUUAAACCUGGGGAAGUGUACCUUUCGUGUCGAGGAAGGCCAAUUCCUGAGAUACUAUGUCACCACUAAAGGAACACAACCCAGCUCAACCAAGCUGGACGAGUUGAUGGAAGUACCAUCCCCCCACACUCUAAGAGAAACUAAAGGGUUGAAUGGUAAACUGACCGCUCUAAGCCGUUUCAUUUCCAAGUUGUCAGAGAAAGCCAUGCCACUUUUCCAUACUCUAUAGGGGUGCAUUGAAAAGAACAACUUCCAGUAGACGCCGGCAGCAUAAACAACGCUCCAACAAAUUAAGGAAGCCCUACACAAAUUACCCACACUGGUUAGCCCCGUUCCAGGUGAAAUGCUAUAGGUAUACUUCUCAACAUCAAAUGAGGCCAUAUCCUCGAUAUUGGUAGUAGAAAUUGAAGGAAGGUAAGCAUCAGUCUACUUUGUCAGUCGAGCCUUACAGGUCCCAGAGACCAACUACCAUAUCUUUGAAAAACUGGUGAUCUUACUCAUCUAUGCAUCACGACACUUGCUACGCUACUUCCAAGCACAUAAGAUAGAGGUAUAAACAAAUUGGCCGCUCAAACCAGAAACGUCCUGACGCCUGGUGAAAUGGGCAAUCGAGAUGGGGGAACAUGACAUUAGGUACCGCCCACGUACCAUCAUCAAAGGGAAAGCAUUGGCAUAUUUUCUCCUCAAGUUCCCAAUAAAAGUGAAAGUAGGCGCUCAAAAGAAAGAGUUACCAGGCCCAAGUUGGCCAAAGGAUGGCCAGGGAUGGACCCUAUGUACCAAUGGGGCAUCUAGAAAAUAAGGAUCGGGAGCGGGCCUGAUCCUAACAAGCCUAAAGAGGGAAGAGAUUACCUACGCCCUCUACUUCGACUUCCAUACCUCUAAAAAUGAGGCCGAGUACGAAGCCUUGCUUGUCGGCCUACGACUCUACGACUGGCAAGACAGAUGGGCGCAGACACGAUAACAGCCGUGACGAACUUGAGGUUAGAAACUAACCAUAAUAGAGAGUUUGAAGCAAGAGACAAGUGAAUGGAGAAGUACCUAAAGGCCGUUUAAAGACUCGUCGAUCCCCUCAAAGAGUUCACCAUCAAGCAAAUUCCAAGAUGGGAGAACAGAAGAGCGGACGCCCUAGCAUCAAAAUGCUUCGACCACCUGUCCAAGAAGGUUUGGGUGGAGGUACUCAAGGAAUGGAGCAUAGAUGAGCGAUAGGUAAACACUUUGACACCAGCAUGACACACCUGGAUGACACCAAUCAUAUACAAUCAUAGAAGCUAGAAGAGUAAAAAUUAAGAAUCCAUGAAGAAGCUAGAAGAGUAAAAAUUAAGGCACCAUUGUAUACAAUCAUAGAAGGAUUACUAUACCGAAAAAGGUUCAUGACGUCGUGGCUAAAAUGCAUAGAUGAAGCCAGGGGAAAAGAAGCACUUCAAGAGGGGAAAAGAAGCACUUCAAGAGGCAUAUGCAGGCCCAGAUGGCGCGCAUGAUGGAGCAACGACCCUCACAGGGAAGAUACUUCGGAUGGGCAUCUACUGGCCAACCAUACAUCAAAACGCGACAGAAGCAAUGCGAAGAUGUGUGGAAUGCCAAACUUACUCUCCGGUUUAAGGGGUUCCCUAGGCACCCCUGACGAGAAUUUCUAGUCCAUGGCCUUUCUACCAGUGGGGAAUCGAUAUCGUCAGACCAUUCCCAGAUACCCUCGGAAAAUUGAAGUUCCUAGUAGUUGUGGUUGACUACUUCACCAAGUGGAUAGAGUCCGAGCCAUUAAUGUGCAUAUCCAGAAGACAGACGAUCAAAUUCCUAUGGAAGAGAAUAAUGACAAGGUGUGGAACACCUAGGGUACUCCUCAGUGACAAUGGGUUACAGUUUGCUAAAAACCCAUUUCAAAGUUUGUGUGCCGAGAAAGGGAUUGAGCAACGUUGCACAUCAGUAGCACAUCCCCAGGCCAACGGCCAGACCAAAGUAUCCAACAGAACAUUCGUAAACGGAAUCAAGAAAUGCCUAGGGAGAGCUAAAGACAAUUGGGUAAAAAAAACAACCAGGAGUAGGUCAUAUAGAACAACGCCAAGAACGAGCAUGAAGGAAACGCCCUUUAGCCUAACUUACGGCACAUAAGCAAUGUUGCCGAAGAAGAACACAAUGAUAAAGACAUGAGGGUAAACUUGGACCUCAUUAAGUAAAGGCGUGAGUGCUCAAACGUUUGCCAAGCGACCUACAAAGAUGUCGUGGAAAGAUACUACAACUAGAGAGUCAAAGAAAAAGCUUUCAAGAUAGGGGAUUAUGUCCUAAGGCGAAACGAGGCAAGCCAUAACCACUCAUAAGGAAAGCUAGGCCCUACAUGGAAAGGACCAUACAAGGUCAUCAAGGCUCACCGCGACAGCGCAUACUCACUCGAAGCAAUGGAAGGAAUGAAAAUCCCAAGAACAUGGAAUGCCAGGAACCUAAGGAAGUUUCAUUUCUAAAAGAAGAAAUUCAUCACCUGGACUGAUCACCCGGGCUGACACUCAAUAUCUAAG